UUGAUUUUUUGAAAGCAGAUUGUCUUCAAUUGUAGAUUUUGAUUUAAGAAAAGGGAAAUAAAUUUAUACUAUCUACGCAUUACAAUUAUUAUAACAACAUGCAAAUUGCAAUGUAGGAUUCAAAAUAAUCAAUCGUAAAGCCUACCUAACAUUGUUGUUUUUCAGCUUCUUUUAAUACCCCAUCCAACUCUCUUGUUAGCAGGAUUUCUCUUGUAGUAUAUCACUUAUAGUAGUUUCUCACAUACGAAAGAAAUUAUUGAAUACAUAAAAUCUUUCACUUUUACUCUUAUAAAAUAGCUAGUAUAUUUUUUUUCUCACUGAUUCUCUCUUUCUCCACCUUUACAUUUAUCUCCCUUAAUUAAUAAGGACAGGAUUGGAAAUGAAGCAUUAAGAAGAGAUAAAAGUGACAAAUAAAAAGGAUCAACAUCCCUUCCUAUAAGUGCCAAUUAAAAAGAACGAGAGUGGUAAGACUCAGAUCCAGCAAUUUUAAUGGAGCGAUGAUUAGCAGGUGAAGUGUCAGCUGAGAAAAAAGAGAAGCAUAAGGAGAAGUUGAGCAUUGAAUAUGGCUUUUGUUGGUUAUAAAGAGUAAUUUGAAUUAUGAGAAAACAGCAAUGUACAUUGCUGGUUACUAGCAUGCUCCAGGGACAUAAUCUUGCGUAGCUGGGUUGUUUUAUUGAUAAUUUGAAAUACCAUAUUUGUAUGAUUUUACCCAAGUAUCUUAAGGAUGUAAAUGACUCGGUUGAAGAUGUUAUAGACUUGUUCUUCGGAUUUUGUCAAGUUCUCAGAGUGUUUUCAUUUGAUAAAAAGAGUGUUUUGAAUUGAAGAUGUUGCAGACAUAAAUAGUAUCUCAUGGUUGUUAUUAUUAUUGGCAAAGCGUUCUAUUUUAAUUUGA